CUUCACCGAGCCGAGCCACAGCGGCUGCCCGGCGGGCCGGUGCGGCCCGUAGACGCCGAGCAGCGCCUGUGCCUC
rnacentral:antisense_RNA from 1 species